rnacentral:rRNA from 1 species
UACGUAGGUGGCAAGCGUUGUCCGGAAUUACUGGGUGUAAAGGGCGUGUAGGCGGGGAUGCAAGUCAGAUGUGAAAUUCCGGGGCUCAACUCCGGCGCUGCAUCUGAAACUGUAUCUCUUGAGUGCUGGAGAGGAAAGCGGAAUUCCUAGUGUAGCGGUGAAAUGCGUAGAUAUUAGGAGGAACACCAGUGGCGAAGGCGGCUUUCUGGACAGUAACUGACGCUGAGGCGCGAAAGCGUGGGGAGCAAACAGGAUUAGAUACCCUGGUAGUCCACGCCGUAAACGAUGGAUACUAGGUGUAGGAGGUAUCGACCCCUUCUGUGCCGGAGUUAACACAAUAAGUAUCCCACCUGGGGAGUACGGCCGCAAGGUUGAA